rnacentral:rRNA from 1 species
UACGUAGGAGGCAAGCGUUGUCCGGAUUUACUGGGCGUAAAGAGCGUGUAGGCGGUAGAGCAAGUCUGCUGUGAAAUCUCCAGGCUCAACUUGGAGGGGUCAGUGGAAACUGCUCGACUUGAGGACGGUAGAGGGGGGUGGAAUUCCCGGUGUAGUGGUGAAAUGCGUAGAUAUCGGGAGGAACACCAGCGGCGAAGGCGGCCCCCUGGGCCGCUCCUGACGCUGAGACGCGAAGGCCAGGGUAGCGAACGGG